rfam:Triticum aestivum genome assembly, contig: Triticum_aestivum_CS42_TGACv1_scaffold_062903_1DL
CAGAGUGAUGGAAAUUAGGAAAUGAUCCAGACUGACCAGAAAAGGUUGAUGUGAAUGGCCUUCCUGUUGAAUCCCCAC